rnacentral:rRNA from 1 species
UACGUAGGGUGCAAGCGUUAAUCGGAAUUACUGGGCGUAAAGCGCACGCAGGCGGUUCGCCAAGUUUGGAGUGACAGUUGUCGGCUCAACCGAUAAAGGACUUCAAAAACUGGUGAACUUGAGAGCGAGAGAGGAACAUGGAACUCCAGGUGUAGUAGUGAAAUGCGUAGAUAUCUGGAAGAACACCAAAGGCGAAGGCAAUGUUCUGGCUCGUUUCUGACGCUCAGGUGGCGAAAGCCAGGGGAGCGAACGGG